UGUGGCAGAAUAGUGCAAUAAAAUUAAGAUUUAUCUAUAAAGUUUCCUUUCUUUAGAAA
rnacentral:tRNA from 1 species